rnacentral:rRNA from 1 species
CCUACGGGAGGCAGCAGUGGGGAAUAUUGGACAAUGGGGGGAACCCUGAUCCAGCGACGCCGCGUGAGUGAAGAAGUAUUUCGGUAUGUAAAGCUCUAUCAGCAGGGAAGAAAGAAAUGACGGUACCUGACUAAGAAGCCCCGGCUAACUACGUGCCAGCAGCCGCGGUAAUACGUAGGGGGCAAGCGUUAUCCGGAUUUACUGGGUGUAAAGGGAGCGUAGACGGCGAUGCAAGUCUGAAGUGAAAGGCGGGGGCCUAACCCGCGGACUGCUUUGGAAACUGUAUGGCUGGAGUGCAGGAGAGGGAAGUGGAAUUCCUAGUGUAGCGGUGAAAUGCGUAGAUAUUAGGAGGAACACCAGUGGCGAAGGCAGCUUACUGGACUGGAACUGACGUUGAGGCUCGAAAGCGUGGGGAGCAAACAGGAUUAGAUACCCUUGUAGUC